rnacentral:rRNA from 1 species
AUUGAACGCUGGCGGCAGGCUUAACACAUGCAAGUCGAGCGGUAACAGAGAGAAGCUUGCUUCUCUGCUGACGAGCGGCGGACGGGUGAGUAAUGCCUAGGAAUCUGCCUAGUAGUGGGGGAUAACUUGCCGAAAGGUAAGCUAAUACCGCAUACGUCCUACGGGAGAAAGGAGGGGACCUUCGGGCCUUUCGCUAUUAGAUGAGCCUAGGUCGGAUUAGUUAGUUGGUGAGGUAAUGGCUCACCAAGACCGCGAUCCGUAACUGGUCUGAGAUGAUGGUCAAUCAAACUGGGACUGAGAGACGGUCCAGACGCCUACGGGAGGCAGCAGUGGGGAAUAUUGGACAAUGGGGGGAACCCUGAUCCAGCCAUGCCGCGUGUGUGAAGAAGGUCUUAGGAUUGUAAAGCACUUUAAGUUGGGAGGAAGAGCAGUUAACUAAUAUUUGACUGUUUUGACGUUACCGACAGAAUAAGCACCGGCUAACUUCGUGCCAGCAGCCGCCGCCG